rnacentral:ncRNA from 1 species
UAUCUUCGGGGCGGGGUGCAAUUCCCCACCGGCAGUUAAAGUCUGCGAGCGCAAGCUGAUUUGGUGAAAUUCCAAAACCGACGGUACAGUCCGGAUGAAAGAAGAUU